rnacentral:rRNA from 1 species
UACGAAGGGGGCUAGCGUUGCUCGGAAUCACUGGGCGUAAAGGGUGCGUAGGCGGGUCUUUUAAGUCAGGGGUGAAAUCCUGGAGCUCAACUCCAGAACUGCCUUUGAUACUGAGGAUCUUGAGUACGGGAGAGGUGAGUGGAACUGCGAGUGUAGAGGUGAAAUUCGUAGAUAUCGGAAGGAACACCGGUGGUGAAAGCGGCGCGCUGGACCUCUUCUGACGCUGAGGCGCGAAAGCCAGGGGAGCAAACGGG